CUAACAACCACAUCUUUCUUCACUGCGUGAUUACGCGGGGACGCUCUAGAAUAGUCUCGCACGCUGUAGGUCACUCCGGUCGCGUUGGACGUUUGCUCCAUGGCCGUCUGUGCGUGCACCUAUAUAAGCCGCCAUAGCCAAGCUGCACCGAUCGGCAUCGCAUCUGUACUUGCUAGCCGGCGCACCCUCUCUUUUAUCCACAUCAGCUCGGUCGAUCUGUGACCAUCUCAGUCGAGCUGCAUCUGCAGGUGUACUAGUAGUACACCUAAGCUGAGCUUGCGUAUACCACUGCACGUAUACGCACAUCAAAUUAAUCUGAAACUAAUUAAGUUAUCAGGUGCGGGGAGAGAACAAUCGACACGAUGGCUUCUGCUUUCUCAUCCACCGUUGGAGCUCCGGCGUCGACCCCGACCACCUUCCUCGGGAAGAAGGUGAAGAAGCAGGCCGGUACGUUGAACUACUACCAUGGUGGCAACAAGAUCAACAGUAGGGUGGUCAGGGCCAUGGCGGCCAAAAAGGAACUUGACGAGGGCAAGCAGACCGAUGCCGAUCGGUGGAAGGGUCUCGCUUACGACAUCUCCGACGACCAGCAGGACAUCACCAGGGGGAAAGGUAUCGUGGACUCCCUGUUCCAGGCCCCCAUGGGCGACGGCACCCACGAGGCCAUCCUGAGCUCCUACGAGUACAUCAGCCAGGGCCUGCGGAAGUACGACUUCGACAACACCAUGGACGGGCUCUACAUCGCCCCGGCAUUCAUGGACAAGCUCAUCGUCCACCUCGCCAAGAACUUCAUGACGCUCCCCAACAUCAAGGUCCCUCUCAUCCUGGGCAUCUGGGGAGGCAAGGGACAGGGCAAGUCGUUCCAGUGCGAGCUGGUGUUCGCCAAGAUGGGCAUCAACCCCAUCAUGAUGAGCGCCGGAGAGCUGGAGAGCGGCAACGCCGGCGAGCCGGCCAAGCUGAUCCGGCAGAGGUACCGCGAGGCGGCGGACAUUAUCAAGAAGGGCAAGAUGUGCUGCCUCUUCAUCAACGACCUGGACGCCGGCGCGGGGCGGAUGGGCGGGACGACGCAGUACACGGUGAACAACCAGAUGGUGAACGCCACCUUGAUGAACAUCGCGGACGCGCCCACCAACGUGCAGCUCCCGGGGAUGUACAACAAGGAGGAGAACCCACGCGUGCCCAUCAUCGUCACCGGCAACGACUUCUCGACGCUGUACGCGCCCCUCAUCCGCGACGGCCGCAUGGAGAAGUUCUACUGGGCGCCCACCCGCGAGGACCGCAUCGGGGUGUGCAAGGGCAUCUUCCGCACCGACAACGUCCCGGACGAGGCUGUGGUGAGGCUGGUGGACACCUUCCCGGGGCAAUCCAUCGACUUCUUCGGCGCGCUGCGGGCGCGGGUGUACGACGACGAGGUGCGCAAGUGGGUCGGCGAGAUCGGCGUCGAGAACAUCUCCAAGCGCCUCGUCAACUCCAGGGAGGGGCCGCCGACGUUCGACCAGCCCAAGAUGACCAUCGAGAAGCUCAUGGAGUACGGCCACAUGCUGGUCCAGGAGCAGGAGAACGUGAAGCGUGUGCAGCUCGCCGACAAGUACCUCAGCGAGGCGGCGCUCGGCCAAGCCAACGACGACGCCAUGGCGACCGGCGCCUUCUACGGCAAGUAGAAUGAAGGCCAGCCCGUCCUAGUUAAGAUGCAUGCAUGCACUAUAUAUAUUUUGGAAUAUUUUGGACUCAAACUUUUUGAUUCAUCGCCGCACAGGUAACCCAAUUGUAACUUGUACGUCUCUUGUUGAAAGAAAAUCGAAUUAUACUCCCUAUGUUUCUAAAUAUAACUCUUUUUAGAGAAUCCAAUAUGGACUACGUACAGAGUAAAAUGGGUGAAUCUACACAUUAAACUACGUCUAUAUACAUCCGUAUAUAGUCCAUAUUACAAUCUCUAAAAAACUUAUAUUUAUGAGCGGAUGAAGUAUAUGUUAU
rnacentral:rRNA from 1 species